ACAUUUCACUUCAGCUGCCUCACGCCCUCACCCUCACCCUCAUUCUUUUCUUUUCUUCUCUCUGAGUUCCAUCUUCCAUGCCUCCCUCUUCUAUACUUGGCCCUCUUCAUCACGCUUUAAAAAAAACGAAGAUUAACAAAAAUAUGAGAGUGUUUAUAGUGUGGAAUUUGUUAAUUUUUGCCUUUUUUUUUUUUUUUUUGUUAACUGUGAGUUGUUUCUUUUUUGCUCUAAUGUAAGUCUUUCGUCGCCGGCGACGUAGAGAACGCGUUCUCUACACAAACGGUGCUAGAGACUCCAUCUCUGCUGCCGAUCUAUAGCAGAGGAUUCUCUGAUUUCUCGCCAGAGCAGAACGGAAAGAACUUUGAUGGAGGUUUUGGCGGAUCGGACGGCCCGAUCUUGCCUCCGCCGUCGGAGAUGCAGUCAGAGGAGGGCUUUGCUCUGAGAAAGUGGCGCCGUCUCUUUCUUUGUUAUCACUCAUUCCCCUAAAGCAACAUGCCAUCAUUACAAAGAUCAACCAUCUUUCACUCACUUAUGAAACUGUUGUUAAGUUUCACUCAAUUCCAGUGAAUCUUCCAUCAGACAGACUCAGGGAGAUUGAAGCUUCAACUUUACCUAUUUUGGUCGGGGACUAAAGUCACUAAACCCAAGGAGAAAAAGCCACCGGCCCCUAAUUUAUCAAAUCCUUCUUCAGUAUCUAAGAGGUAGAAAGAUCAAUGAGGAAGAAGCUUAAUCAAUAAAUCAAGCUCCUUUAUGCCACAUGUAAUCGGAGCACAAACUCAUGUAUCUGUAUGGAUUGGGUCACAUUCAAAGCGCCAAUGGAGGCAAAACUUUUGUGGGAUUUGAAGUGCAAAGAGCCCAAGAGCGAUUUACUCUUCCUAUUUGUGGAUCAGAAACAGAUCAAGUACACGCUCUAUGCGUCGUGGAGUACACGCUCCGUAUGGUCCCUUUGUCUUCUGAGCCUUUUGAUUUGGGUUUUGUCGCCAUGCGCUCCCUCCACCGCGUCCUCUCCACUUCGCCUGAACUCAACACCUUCCUUGCUUUUCUUAACACUGGGCACAGGUGUGAAAGAGAAUCUCUCAGAUAAAUACAAAGACAAAAUUGUUGAUUAGAAAAGAUUGGCGAAUGAGGUAGGUCCUAGGUCUUUUAGGGCCAUAGGGAACACGUAUGACCACUUCUCUUUCUCACACACACUUAUCUUCUACCUUUGGGUCUUUGACAUAACCUACACAUCUCUGUCUGUCUCUCAAAACUACUGUGCUAGCUGUGGUCUUCAAUGACUUUAUCAUUAUUUUCAAUCUUGUGCAUUUUGAUUUUCAAAACAAUAUGGUUCAUGUAUCAAAAUUUUACUGAAGUGAAUGUGUAAAUUUUUCUUUAAUUUUUAUGCUAUUUUUAACAUAUACAUUGUCUUGACUCUUGAGUGAAUAAAAUCAAUAUCUCAAGUAUUUAUUACUUGAUAUGGGAUGGGUAAUGGUAAAUCCUUUAUUGUCACGUUUCAUGGUUGUUGAAAAGGGAUUGUAUGGGAUUGUAUGAAACUUUGAAUGCUGUCUCUUAAAGAACUUCCUUUUGGGAAAUUGCAUCUUUUUGACAUUUGCAAACAUAAAGUCGAAAGCCAUUGUUGCUUACUUUUUUACUCAAUAGUCAUAAUCUUUUUGAGAGUCACUUUACAAUGAUUUCCAAGGAGAGAGAGAGAGAGAGAGAGAAAAUCUAUUCAAGUUUUGUGAAUUACUAUAAAAGCCCUUACUGCCACUACUUUUUAUGAAUUAUGUGUGUGUGUCUAGUGUCUACUACACUUGACCAAGAGUUCAAAAAGUUUUGAAGGCUUCGAUCGAACAAUUGGAUUGGAUGGGAAGCUAAGGACCUCAUAUUAUUAGCUUCGACAUAGGUUAUACAUAUCUGUUGAAUUGAUUACCCCGAUAGUAUAAGUACAAUUAAUGAAGCCUAGCCACUUAUAGUGGAAUCCAUGGUAGCAUUGAUCUCACUUUUGUCCUAAGCCUUGUGAUUGGAAUUUCAAAUUUUGAAAUCCAUUUUGAUUGGUAACUUUAACCUGUUGCCUCUUUAUAGUGAAGAGUUCUAUUUUUGUUUUGUAACUUUGAGUGCAUGUUAAGAGUCCCACUAAUGACAUGUUGACAGGUUCAGAAAUUUUCAUUUUGGGGCUUAGAUGUGCAAGUAGUGAACUUUUAACUUGCGAUAAGCUCUCUCCCUUUGUCUCUCUAUCACUUCUUUCUCUCUCUCUUACGUAUGCAAAGACGAAGAAGGUAUGUUAGAUUUCUAGUCAUGGUCACACUUUCAAAGAAUCAAAUAAACUUCAGACGUGGUGCCCCUAUAAUGUUUUUCAUUAUAAACAGAAAUACAAUUAUAUUUUUAUUAGUUAAUUCAUGGAUGGAUAUAUGAAUGUUUACAUGCAUGCAUGAUGAUCAAGCAGCACAUUUGUUCUCACAUCUUAAUAAAGAGAGCAUCUUAAUAAAGAGAGCAUCUUCGCUGAUUGAGGCUAACAAGGAAAUUUAAAAUUACAAAAAAGGAUUAAUGCUUGAUAUUGAUGCCAAAAAUAUUAUAUUCGUGAAGUAGAAAAUAGUUGAUUCCUACAAAUUUGGAAAAUUAAAUAUAUUGGCAAUUUGAAUUGGAAUAGUUAAGUGGAUAUUCCUGUAGCUGUUUUACUUAUGCAAGGACCCUUUUUAGUGCAAUUGUUGAGAUGCUUGUAUUGGUUCAGGUAUUCCUUAUGUUAUAGGCGUAUGUAAUGAAAAAUGCUUCUUGCCAUUUGACUUUCUGGGAUGUACUUUACUCUUUAAAUUGUGUGCCUGAAAUUCUUUUACCCCUUAUCUUGUAUAUUACCUGUGUCAUUUGUUGGAUGGUUAUGCAAUGGUUUUAUUGAUUUACAUCAGCAUGUACUAGAGAGGGGAAAGCCUCAUGAAAGAAGCCAGAUUAUAAGCAAGUUGUCAGGACAUAUUGUACAACUGAGCCAACAUAAAUUUGCAUCAAACGUUAUUAAGAAAUGUUUGGAGUAUGGUGGCCCCACUGAACGAGAACUAUUAAUUAGGGAGAUUUUUGGGCAUAAUGAAGGAACUGAUAAUUUAUUGGCCGAAGGUUUCAUCGGCACUUUUCUUCAAUUACAACACCUCGAUGGGACUGCCAUAUCGGGUUUUGGUAGAUACCAACUUCAUCAAUUUCUCUAUCCAGAAUAAACUGGACUUGGAGAAGGGAAUGAUGGACUGCCUAUAUGCAAAAUGCACUCCUUGUAUCACGCAAUGUGUGAUGGCACUCCUUUUGUGUACAAAUGACUACAUCCUUUUUUUUGUUAAUUUUAUGAUGAUAGUUAUAAACAAUGUUAUGUAUUUAAUAAUAUAUUUUUAUGUUAAUAUAAUGUUAGUUUUGAGACAAUUGUGGUGUUAUCUAGUUAAAUUUGUGGUAUUGUCUUAGUGGGGCUAAAAUUAUUAUAGGAUUAUUUGUAAUAGAAAUGUGGUUUUAAAACCCACUAGAAAAGGAAAAAAAGAAAAGGCCUAUAGCGGCGGGCAAAAACCGCCGCUAAAGGUGUACAUUUUAUGUUUUAAAUGAUUCUCUAUAGCGGCGCUUAUCGCCUGCCACUACAAGUGCAAUUAGUUUUUUUUUGAUUAAUUGCCUAUAGCGGUGUUGUUUGCCCGCCGCUAAAGGUAGACACCAAUAGCGGCGAGCAUGACCCCGCUGCUAAAAGUCAAUGCCACGAAUUCUAAACACGUAUGGUGGCAGUUUUUUGCUCGUUGCAAUAAACCUUCACUCACAGCUAAAAGGUACAUCUAUAGCGGCGCUUUUCGCGACCGUCACAAUCGACUUAUAGCGGCACUACAACACUGACAGGACGGUCCGCCACAAUAGCACCCGUCGCUAUAGGUCAAAUGUACCUUUAGUUCAGCACUUUUUUUGGGCUUUAGCAGUGGUUCUGACCCGCCGCAAUAGCACGUUUUUUUUGUAGUGCUUUGUGCAUUAAGCGUAGAGAGAAGCCGCAUAUUUUUCUUAAAGGGUUAGGUGUUUUGCAAAGACUUUCUUUCAGUAAUAGUGUCGAAGUAGGGGACUUGAUGAAAAAAAGAAAAAAGAAAGAAAGAAAGAAAUAAUAGCUGUUCCGUAAGGCACAUGUGCCUAGUUGUACUUGGAGUAAUCAUCUCAAAAGAUGAUAAUGGUGGCAGGAGGUAGGAAAAAGAAAAAGAAAAUAAAAAAUUAUCCGUAAAGUCUAGGUGAUUUGAUUUAGAUGAUAUUGUCAUGUAUCUACUCUUGUUCUUAUCUCAAAGUGAACUAAGGGUGGUAGGUGGUAGAAAGUAAAGGAUAUAUAUAUAUAUAUAUAUAUAUAUAUUGAAUAUGUGGAUUUUUGUGUGAGUUAAUAAUGAAGAAAUUAUUAGUGUUCUUUUUCUAGCCUCUCUUCUAGACGGGUAUUGUUAUAAGUUUUUCUUGAAUUAUUUUGAUUAUUGAGUAUGGUGCUUGAAAAUUU